rnacentral:miRNA from 1 species
AGAAAAGUCAUGACAUAUUUUU